rnacentral:lncRNA from 1 species
UUAAAAAAAAUGUGUGGCGUGACCCGGCCAACCAACCAAGAUGGCCGCCACAGCUAAAAAUAGAACAUAGGGGUAAAAUUCAGUUUUUGGCUUAUAACUCAAAAACCAAAGCAUUUAGAGCAAAUCUGACAGAAGUAAAAUUAAUUAUCAGGUCAAGAUCUAUCUGUCCUGAAAUUUUCAGAUGAAUCGGACAACCUGUUGUUGGGUUGCUGCCCCUGAAUUGGUAAUUUUAAGGAAAUUUUGCUGUUUUUUGUUAUUAUCUUGAAUAUUAUUAUAGAUAGAGAUAAACUGUAAACAGCAAUAAAUGUCAGCAAAG